rnacentral:rRNA from 1 species
AGUGAACGCUGGCGGUAGGCCUAACACAUGCAAGUCGAACGGCAGCACAGUAAGAGCUUGCUCUUACGGGUGGCGAGUGGCGGACGGGUGAGGAAUACAUCGGAAUCUACUUUUUCGUGGGGGAUAACGUAGGGAAACUUACGCUAAUACCGCAUACGACCUACGGGUGAAAGCAGGGGAUCUUCGGACCUUGCGCGAUUGAAUGAGCCGAUGUCGGAUUAGCUAGUUGGCGGGGUAAAGGCCCACCAAGGCGACGAUCCGUAGCUGGUCUGAGAGGAUGAUCAGCCACACUGGAACUGAGACACGGUCCAGACUCCUACGGGAGGCAGCAGUGGGGAAUAUUGGACAAUGGGCGCAAGCCCGAUCCAGCCAUACCGCGUGGGUGAAGAAGGCCUUCGGGUUGUAAAGCCCUUUUGUUGGGAAAGAAAAGUAGCAGGUUAAUACCCCGCUGUUCUGACGGUACCCAAAGAAUAAGCACCGGCUAACUUCGUG